rnacentral:lncRNA from 1 species
AUGGAUCUUCUAACCAGUGCAGGAGUCUACCAUACACCAUGCAGCUGUGGACAAGCCUACAUAGGGACCACCAAAUACAGCACUCAAACACAAAUCAAAGAACACAAAAGGCACUGCAGACUAAUUCAACCAGAGAAAUCCAGACGACAAGCAAUCAAGGGGCCAGUUAACACUUCCCAAACAGAGGAUGCCUCCAGACAACAAAGACCAAGCUACCACUAUGCAGAUACCUUCACUGAUUGACUUUACAAACUUCAUGGCUACUCAAAUGCUAAUUCAAGCUUGCUAAUUGCAACAUUCACACUUGCUUUAAACAGACAAGGGUUCUUUCUCCCACCCUGGACAUUUCACAGAUAUAUACACUCCACUUGCCUCACAGUUAAUAGAGCCUCUGAAGCCACUGAUGCAGGAGAAACGUCAGGAGAGAAUGCUGAUGGGACAUACAGCCCAAAAGUCUCAUAGCAACCCAUUACUAAAAUUAUUUCUUGCUUCCUUCAAGAAGAAAAUGCUUGAAGAAUUAAAUUCCCAGUAAGACUAAUGUGUUUCAGGUUGAGAAUUAUGCUUCUAAAAUGAGGACUGCCUUUUGAUGACCAGGGAUUGCUCUAUUGAUGGCCAGUGUAAGUUGAUAAAUCUGUAAUUUAGAUUCUUCCUCCUCCUACUCUUACUCUUUUCUCCGCCUUCUCCCUCUCCCUCUCCCUCUUUUUCUUCCUCUUCUUCUUCCUCCUCCUCCUCCUCCUCCUCCUCCUCCUCCUCCUCCUCUACUGUCUCCUUUGCUAAUCUGAUUGGUGCUGUCCAUUUUUAAGACACCAUCUCGCUGGCUCCUGCACCUCCAGUAAAAGCUUCUUUUGCAGAACAAGUUGCUGUUGAAGGCUCACAAAUAAGUCAAGCUAUUUUCACUUGGUUAACUCUGACAAGUCUUGCCAAGCAGUUAAAUAAGCAUGCUGUAACUUGCUAAUCCCACUGCCAUAUGCAAAAAUUUCUGGAUUAGAGCAAUCAUGUCAUGUCUUUGAGUGUUUUCACAUUCUUUGCCAAUUCAUAUUCUUACUCCUUGGAGAACUAGUUACAGGCAUCAUGUAAAUUUGUCCUCUAGGACUGAUAGUUUGAGUGUAAUGAUCUUUCACUCAUUCCUGAUAAAAUAUCAAUUUUUUAAAAAAUAAAAUAAUCAC